GGCAGCGGCAGAGCUUGAGAGUUGUUAUCAUAACUCGGACCUUGUUUUUGAUGUUCAACUAACAGUGUGCGUCUAUAAACCAAGCGACACUGACAUGCGACACCUCCGUGGAGAAAUGUCUGGUUUUCAUCUGCCAACGCAUCCAGUAAUCAUGGGUCACAGGUAUGCUGCAGCCUAUCCCAGCUGUCUACAGGCACCUUCAGGGUACACCUUGGACUGGUUGCCAGCCAAGCAAAGGGCACAUACAGACAAACUGCAGUUGCUUUCUUGGUAAGAUAUUAUUUUGGUUUAUUUUAUAUUUGGUUAGCAUCUUGGCCACACUGUCACCGUCUAGAGAUCAGGUAGACCUGGAUUCGAUUCUCCCUUGGGCAUUUUCUGUGUGGAGUUUGCAUGUUCUCCCCGUGCAUGCGUGGGUUUUCCUCCCACAUUCUAAAAACAUGCAUGUUACGUCAAUUGGAGACUCUAAAUUGUCCAUAGGUAUGAAUGUGAGUGUGAAUGGUUGUUUGUCUAUAUG